UACGAAGGGGGCUAGCGUUGCUCGGAAUUACUGGGCGUAAAGGGCGCGUAGGCGGCUACGCACGUCCGUUGUGAAAUCGCUCGGCUCAACUGGGCGGGGUCAGCGGAUACGGUGUAGCUGGAGCAAGCUAGGGGGCAAUGGAAUUCCCGGUGUAGUGGUGGAAUGCGUAGAUAUCGGGAGGAACACCAGUGGCGAAGGCGGUUGCCUGGAGCUUUGCUGACGCUGAGGCGCGAAAGCGUGGGGAGCGAUCCGG
rnacentral:rRNA from 1 species